CUGGCCUGGAAGCUGACUGCUGCCAACUUAUUUAGCAUGCGGGGCAGCUAGUCUAUUUUGUUCUCGGUUUUGAACCUUAAUAACAACUUUAGGAUAACAGGAGAAGCCCCACUCAAUAUCCUGACAUACAUUGAAUAUUGUAGAUGAUAACGUAGCCCCAACACAUGUUCUGUUUCUUAUAUACAUCUGGAACCACCUUAAAAACUUGGCAACCUGAGCUAUGGAAAGAUCCCUAUUUAAGAAAAACCCAAAGCUACUAAGACAAAUACAGGUCAGAAACUUAGAAGGGUGCAAGAAAAAGGCUGGACUGAAUGGUCCGAAUUCUGGGUAUAUAUGAAUAAACCCUCAAGUUCAUAUGUUAAAGCCCUAACCGGCAAUGUGACUGUAUUUAAAAAUAGGUGGUUUAGGAAGUAAUUAAGGUUAAAUGAGGUCAUAAGAGUAGGGCCCUGAUCCAAUCAGGCUGGUGGCUUUAUAAGAGGAGGAAGAUCUCUCUCUCUCUCUCUCUCUCUCUCUGUCUCUUUUUCCUCCAGUGAACUCAGAGGAAAGGCCAUGUGGACAUACAAGGAGAAGGCGGCUGUCUGCAAGCCAGGAAGAGAGCCCUACCAGACACCAAACAUGCUAGCACCUUGAUCUUGGACCUUUCAGCAUGCACAACUGUGGGAAAUAAAUUUCUAUUAUUUAAGCCCCCCAGGCCAUGGUACCUUGUGACAGCAGCCUGAGCUGACUAAGGCAAUCACCCUGAUGGUGAACCUGCCCUUGUGGAGAAGGAAAACAAAAAGAUGCCUUAGUUCCAUGGAAGGCUGCUCUGAGGUGUAUUCUGCUAAGUGGAGUCCAGACAGAACACGGAGAAGCUCCUUGAUUGCGUCUCUCCCCUGCCUUACUGUUUUCUGCUGCUCUUGACACUCCACUGUUCCGGCUAUUGCAAGGUUAGAAGGAUGCUCAUGACCAAUGGGACAGAGUCUUUUGCAUAUGGCCUUGAGGAUGAGUGCUUCUGAAAUCUGACAAGUAAGUAAUAAACAGGCAGUUCUCAGAGCAAGAGGCUAAGACUCCUGCUUCACUCGGAGGGAACACAAAGCUUUGCAGGGGUGGGUUACAGGUUUCCACAUCGUGAUGCAAGCAUCACCUUUUACCAAGAAAAUAUCCUGGUAUUUCCUCCUAUAUUCAAUAGAGUAUAUUGAUUUAAGGUUUUAUAGGACUGCAUAAUUAUGUUUUAUCACAAAGAAAAAAUUGAAGUCAUAAUAAAAUAGUUAAAAUACACACGUUAGCUGAAAGUGGUGGCUCAGGCCUAUGAUCUCAGCACUUUGGGAAGCUGAGGUGGGAGGAUCACUUGAGACCAGAAGGUUGAGACCAGCCUGGGCAACAUGGCAAGACCCCCAUGUCUACAAAAAAUUUUAAAAACUAGCUGGGCGUGGU
rnacentral:lncRNA from 10 species